UGGGGAAUUUUGGACAAUGGGCGAAAGCCUGAUUCAGCCAUGCCGCGUGCAGGAUGAAGGCCUUCGGGUUGUAAACUGCUUUUGUACGGAACGAAAAGACUCUGGUUAAUACCUGGGGUCCAUGACGGUACCGUAAGAAUAAGCACCGGCUAACUACGUGCCAGCAGCCGCGGUAAUACGUAGGGUGCAAGCGUUAAUCGGAAUUACUGGGCGUAAAGCGUGCGCAGGCGGUUAUAUAAGACAGAUGUGAAAUCCCCGGGCUCAACCUGGGAACUGCAUUUGUGACUGUAUAGCUAGAGUACGGCAGAGGGGGAUGGAAUUCCGCGUGUAGCAGUGAAAUGCGUAGAUAUGCGGAGGAACACCGAUGGCGAAGGCAAUCCCCUGGGCCUGUACUGACGCUCAUGCACGAAAGCGUGGGGAGCAAACAGGAUUAGAUACCCUGGUAGUCCACGCCCUAAACGAUGUCAACUGGUUGUUGGGUCUUCACUGACUCAGUAACGAAGCUAACGCGUGAAGUUGACCGCCUGGGGAGUACGGCCGCAAGGUUG
rnacentral:rRNA from 1 species